GCUAGCUAGCUAACAUAUGGCGCUAGCAUAUAGCCUAGCUUGAUGUCCAUAAACAAAUAGAUUUUCUUUAUAGUUUAGCUAGAUUGAAUGACAUAUG